rnacentral:rRNA from 1 species
CGUAUCACUUAAAGCGAUUCAGCGGGUUACGAUUGACGGAGCGAAGCGACGUCAAAGCGUAUACAAAGUCGAGUCGGUUUAAGGAUACGUUCGUUGGGUAGGGGAGCGUUCUGUAAGCCUGUGAAGGUGGCCUGUGAGGGUUGCUGGAGGUAUCAGAAGUGCGAAUGCUGACAUAAGUAACGAUAAAGCGGGUGAAAAGCCCGCUCGCCGGAAGACCAAGGGUUCCUGUCCAACGUUAAUCGGGGCAGGGUGAGUCGACCCCUAAGGCGAGGCCGAAAGGCGUAGUCGAUGGGAAACGGGUUAAUAUUCCCGUACUUGGUGUUACUGCGAAGGGGGGACGGAGAAGGCUAUGUUGGCCGGGCGACGGUUGUCCCGGUUUAAGCGUGUAGGUGUGUGUUCCAGGUAAAUCCGGUUCACUUUAACACUGAGGCGUGAUGACGAGGCACUAC